GCAAACUUGGUCAUUUAGAGGAAGUAAAAGUCGUAACAAGGUUUCCGUAGGUGAACCUGCGGAAGGAUCAUUACUGAGUGCGGGCCCUCUGGGUCCAACCUCCCACCCGUGUUUACCGUACCUAGUUGCUUCGGCGGGCCCGCCGUUCACGGCCGCCGGGGGGCAUCUGUCCCCGGGCCCGCGCCCGCCGAAGACACCCUCGAACGCUGUCUGAAGGUUGCAGUCUGAGCUUGAUUAGCAAAUCAAUCAAAACUUUCAACAACGGAUCUCUUGGUUCCGGCAUCGAUGAAGAACGCAGC
rnacentral:misc_RNA from 1 species